rnacentral:rRNA from 1 species
GCCCGCAGGCGGUCGCGUCAGUUCGCGGUGACAGCGCUCGGCUUAACCGAGCGAGGACCGAGAAGACGGCGCGACUUGAGGGCCAGAGAGGGACAUGGAACUCCGGGUGGAGUGGUGAAAUGCGUAGAGAUCCGGAAGAACACCAAAGGCGAAGGCAGUGUCCUGGCUGGCACCUGACGCUCGGGGGCGAAAGCGAGGGGAGCGAACGGGAUUAGAUACCCCGGUAGUCCUCGCCGUAAACGAUGACCACUAGGUGUGGGAGGGAUCGACCCCUUCCGUGCCGGCGUUAACGCACUAAGUGGUCCGCCUGGGGAGUACGGUCGCAAGAUUAAAACUCAAAGGAAUUGACGGGGACCCGCACAAGCAGCGGAGCGUGUGGUUUAAUUCGAAGCAACGCGAAGAACCUUACCAGGGCUUGACAUGCAGUCGCACCGCCGAGAGAUCGGCGUCCCCGCAAGGGACGGCUGCACAGGUGCUGCAUGGCUGUCGUCAGCUCGUGCCGUGAGGUGUUGGGGUUAAGUCCCGCAACGAGCGCAACCCCUGUCGUUGGUU